UACAGAGGUCUCAAGCGUUUGUUCGGAUUCAUUGGGCGUAAAGGGUGCGUAGGCGGCGCGGUAAGUCGGGUGUGAAAUCUCGGAGCUUAACUCCGAAACUGCAUUCGAUACUGCCGUGCUUGAGGACUGGAGAGGAGACUGGAAUUUACGGUGUAGCGGUGAAAUGCGUAGAUAUCGGGAGGAACACCUGUGGCGAAAGCGGCUCACUGGAUCGGUACUGACGCUGAGGUGGCGAAAGCGUGGGGAGCAAACAGG
rnacentral:rRNA from 1 species